rnacentral:rRNA from 1 species
UAGGGAAUCUUCCGCAAUGGACGCAAGUCUGACGGAGCAACGCCGCGUGAGUGAAGAAGGAUUUCGGUUCGUAAAACUCUGUUGUUAGAGAAGAACAGCGCAUAGAGUAACUGUUAUGCGUGUGACGGUAUCUAACCAGAAAGCCACGGCUAACUACGUGCCAGCAGCCGCGGUAAUACGUAGGUGGCAAGCGUUGUCCGGAUUUAUUGGGCGUAAAGCGAGCGCAGGCGGUCAAUUAAGUCUGAUGUGAAAGCCCCCGGCUCAACCGGGGAGGGUCAUUGGAAACUGGUUGACUUGAGUGGAGAAGAGGAGAGUGGAAUUCCAUGUGUAACGGUGAAGUGCGUAGAUAUAUGGAGGAACACCAGUGGCGAAGGCGACUCUCUGGUCUGUAACUGACGCUGAGGCUCGAAAGCGUGGGUAGCAAACAGG